AGGGUUUGAUUCUGGCUCAGAGUGAACGCUGGCGGCGUGGAUUAGGCAUGCAAGUCGAGCGAUAGUGUAGCAAUACAUUAUAGCGGCAAAUGGGUGAUUAACACGUAGGUAACGUACCUUAAGGAAGGGCAUAGUCUGGUGAAAGCCAGAGUAAUUUCCUAUAGUUCCCGGAGCUGAAAUGCGUCGGGAUAAAGAUGGCCUCUAUUUAUAAGCUAUCGCCAUAAGAGCGGCCUGCGGCCUAUCAGGUAGUUGGUGAGGUAACGGCCCACCAAGCCUAAGACGGGUAGCUGGUCUAAAAGGAUGGUCAGCCACAUCGGAACUGAGACACUGUCCGGACUCCUACGGGAGGCUGCAGUCGAGGACCUUUCUCAAUGGACGAAAGUCUGAAGAUGCGACGCCGCGUGAGGGAUGAAGGCCUUCGGGUCGUAAACCUCUUUUGUUAGGGAGGAAUGUUGCAGGGUGAACAAUCCUGCAAAUUGACUGUACCUGACGAAUAAGCCACGGCUAACUCCGUGCCAGCAGCCGCGGUAAUACGGAGGUGGCAAGCGUUACUCGGUUUGACUAGGUGUAAAGGGUCCGUAGGUGGCCUUGUAAGUGGAAGGUGAAAUCUUUUGGCUCAACCAAAAAACUGCCUUUCAAACUGCUUGGCUAGAGGUUGGGAGGGGAUAGUGGAACUGCUAGUGUAAAGGUGAAAUUUGUGGAUAUUAGCAGGAACGCCUGUGGAGAAGUCGGCUAUCUGGUCCAAUCCUGACACUGAGGGACGAAAGCUAGGGGAGCAAACAGGAUUAGAUACCCUGGUAGUCCUAGCUGUAAACUAUGAGCACUAGAUGUCUGUCAUGUAUUUGAUGGGUGUCGUAGGUAACCUGUUAAGUGCUCCACCUGGGGACUACGGUCGCAAGACUAAAACUCAAAGAAAUUGACGGGGGCCCGCACAAGCAGUGGAACACGUGGUUUAAUUCGAUGCUACGCGAGGAACCUUACCAGGGUUUGACAUGCUGGAAGUAGUGCCCCGAAAGGGGUUCCGACCUGUAACCAGUCAGGAACCAGCACAGGUGCUGCAUGGUUGUCGUCAGCUCGUGCCGUGAGGUGUUUCCUUAAGUGGAAGAACGAGCGCAACCCUCGCUAUUUGUUGCUACCGGUUCAGUUUACUGAGCCGCGCACUCUAAUGGGACUGCCCGCGUUAAGUGGGAGGAAGGUGGGGACGACGUCAAAUCCGCAUGGCCCUUAUGUCCUGGGCUACACACGUGUUACAAUGCCUACUACAAUGGGACGCCAAGCCGUAAGGCGGAGCAAAUCCUAAUAAAAGUAGGCCCAGUUCGGAUUGAGGGCUGCAACUCGUCCUCAUGAAGCUGGAAUUGCUAGUAAUGGCGUAUCAGCUACGACGCCGUGAAUACGUUCCCGGGCCUUGCACACACCGCCCGUCAAGCGCUGAAAGUGGGGGGCACCCGAAGCUCUGUUUUCAGGUCCACGGUGAAUUUCAUGAUUGGCGCUAAGUCGUAACAAGGUA
rnacentral:rRNA from 1 species